UACAUAACCUGCUGCUCAAUGACGACAGCCUCAGCGAACGAACGCAGCUCUCCCCUGCCCAGAUAAUAGCCCUCACGGAAUUUUGCAUGAAAGAAGGGAACCACUUCCACUUUCAAGGGCGAUUCUUUUCCCAGAAGCAAGGAGCACCUAUGGGCAGCCCCCUUUCACCCGUUUUGGCUGAACUUUUCAUGGAACACCUGGGCUUUCUCCAUUUCUCCACAAGGGCCCCCAAGUUUCCCAUAAAACCCUUCAAACGCUACGUCGACGACAUUUUCGCUACAAUCCGAAGAGGCAGCGAGCAGCCAUUCCUCGACCACCUGAACAGCCUCUUCGCUGACACGAUCUGUUUCACAAUGGAGAUUGAACGGCGCUCGUCGUCUUCCCUUCUUGGACACCCUACUGAUCCGGAAAGAAACAAAUAUAUCCAGCCAAGUCUACCGCAAGCCAACUAACACCGACCACUUCGUCCACUACAUGUCCAAUCAGCCCAUUGGGGUUACACGUGGACUCAUAAUAGGUCUGGUGGACAGAGCCUACCACCUGUGCGAUCCGCAGUUCGUAGACCGAGAGCUCUGACAUAUCAAAACAGUUCUCCAUCGCAACGGAUAUCCCCACCGCCUAAUCGACUCCACUGUUGCCCGUAGGCUGCAACAUCUCGACAGUCCGGGCAACGCCCCACGACCUUCACCGGACGCAAAGAUCACCAUCCCUCUGCCCUUCUAUCCGGGCAUCACUGGCAAAGUCUUGUCACUGUCACGAGACCUCGGUUUCGUACUCCGUUACUGCAAAUCGCCCAACUUAGGGAGCAUACCUCGAUCAGACAAAGUCAGACUCCCCAUUCACCAGAGAAAUGGCGCGAUCUACAAGAUCACUUGCAAGUGUGGAGGGACCUACAUAGGCGAAACUGGAAACAGUCUCUGACAGGUUCCAUAAAAAUCUAGGAAGUCUAAAGCGAUACCGCAAACCUUUGGCGAGACUCAAGGGGGAAACUUUCAAAUCAAGAGGGCGUCCCCAAACACCGCUGAGGUCCAUGCAGCAAGCGCGAGACAGCUCAGCUGCCGUCGAACACGCCGCGACCUGCGCUGCGGCCCAUACCUCACUUUCCGCUUCCGUUCUCCUUCACGAACCACAUUUCCGAAAGAGAAAGAUCCUGGAAGCGUUAUAUAUAAGACAAAACCGCACGAUCAACAAAGAUGGCAGCUUAGGGGUCAAAGAUGGCGGCUUAGGGGUCAGCGAAGCAUGGUUACCGUUGACAGCCUCCAUAAUGCAAUUACACCGCCAUCGGACAACCUGACGGAUUACAGCUGAGGCCCACUUAACCCAACGAAGAACACCUGCCGGCGGCCUCUCACAAAAACAGCCAAGUUCACACUUCGCAUUGCCUGUUACGCUGACGACGGAACGUGUGCUGUUCCGAAAGCUCCGCACCCCCUUUCUGUGUGUGUGCCAAGAAACAAGCAUUUAUCAUCCUGUGCUUUACAACGGGAGCAAGCCGUUUCUAACACCUUCUACAUCAAUAAACCUUGAAUAGCCAAAUGCCUCGUCAUCUAAUUAGUGACGCGCAUGAAUGGAUGAACAAGAUUCCUGCUGUCUAGCGAAACCACAGCCAAGGGAACGGGCUUGGCAAAAUCAGCGGGGAAAGAAGACCCUGUUGAGCUUGACUCUAGUCUGACUCUGUGAAGAGACAUUGAAGGUGUAGCACAGGUGGGAGGCCGGUGGCCGCUUGCGGUGCCGCGCCGACAGUGAAAUACCACUACUUUGAUCGUUUCUUUACUUAUUCGGUCAAGCGGAAGGAACGGUCGCUCGCGUGGCCGUCUCACGGCGCGCGACGACUGCCACUUUUGGUGCGAAGCCCACGGGACGCGUGCCCCGCUGUCGGCGGCACGUCGAGCAAGCGUAGCAACGCCAGGUGCCGUCCAGGGUGAUCCGCUCCGAAGACAGUGUCAGACGGGGAGUUUGACUGGGGCGGUACAUCUGUUAAACGGUAAGGCAGGUGUCCCAAGGUGAGCUCAGCGAGAACAGAAACCUCCCCUGGAGUAAACGGGCAAAAGCUCACUCGAUUUUGAUUUCCAGUACGAAUAGAGACCGCGAAAGCGUGGCCUAUCGAUCCUAUUGAUUUUGCGAAUUUCAUGUAAGAAGUGUCAGAAAAGUUAUCACAGCGGUAACUGGCUUGCGGCAGACAAGCGCCAAUAGCGACGUUGCUUUUUGAUCCUUCGAUGUCGGCUCUUCCUAUCACUGCGAAGCAGAAUUCGCCAAGCGUUGGAUUGUUCACCCACCAAUAGGGAACGUGAGCUGGGUUUAGACCGUCGUGAGACAGGUUAGUUUUACCCUACUGAUCACUGAUCGUUGCUAUAGUAAUCCUGCUCAGUACGAGAGGAACCGCAGGAUCAGACAUUUGGUUCAUGCGCUUGGCUGAAAGGCCAGUGGCGCGAAGCUACCUCUGAAAGAUAAUGACUGAACGCCUCUAAGUCAGAAUCUUGCCUAUCGACUGUCCACGAUACGUUGCGUCCGAGUAGCUGCAAGGUCGACGGUAGACCGGCGGUCGCCUUGCGCGGUCGACCGGUCUCCACUUGAAGCCGUGCUGCCACUUGUUGACGGCAGCGGCGGUAGCAUGAACGACAUGCUGCGACGGCGGCGAAACCACUAAUCACCCAACGGGUGAAACAGCAGUCGGACAGCGGAGUUCCCCGUAGACGACGGACACACCGGUUGAGGUGUUGUGACCACUAGAACAGUCGCAACACUGCGAUUUGUUGAGACUUUGCCUUUCAUUGGACUGCUCGU
rnacentral:ncRNA from 1 species